CGGGAACUGGAUUCCCUCCCCCCAGGGCACUGUGACAAAUGAAGCCCACUGGCCACGUGAUGGGUGUCACGUGGGGGCUGGAGAUGGAGCCAAAGACCCACAAACCAAUGAGAGGGCAGGCACUGGGGUCUCCGUGCGCCAUGCCCCCUCCCCAGGAUCCUCCAGGCGCAGCCUAGGAGUCUACUGACCUGCUGAGCCUGGGCCGCAGCUCUGCCAUGUGAGCCCAAAGACAGUGCAUUCCCAGGGGCAGCUGAAGACCACGCAUCCUCCGAGAUCACUGUCGUCCUCAACUGGCGCAUGCUGCUGCGGCCGACACCAAGUCAAGGACACUCAGAGGCUCUGCAGAGGCAGCACGCACAGAGCCUGGCCGCUCACCCGCCCUUAAAACCUGGUGCUGAGGACCAGGCCAGGACGGGGGGCGGGCUGACAUCCACACGGCUUACAGCAGGGGCCCCGUGAGGGAAAGACAGCACAGAGAGGCUCCAGGGUGUGCCUGCCACGUGUGCACACACCUGUCCGCCCGCACACCAGGAGGGGCCGGUGGUUUCCAAUCGCCCUGGAGAGAUCUCUUUCAUCCUCCGAGGAGCAGCUCUUUCCCGCAGUGGGCGCCCAGCGCACCCGCGCCAGUGCUGCUAGCCUCCCUCCUGCCCGGCCGACCCGAGCAGCACUGAAGGGUCCUCGCCAGCCUCUGCGGCCUCCUCACCUGCAAGGCCAGCUCCACAUGGGAGAGGAGCGGAACAAGGGCAGCAGUCACGCAGGCUUCCCAUCUCCAACUCCACGUGCUCCACUGUCGCAGGACCAGGUCAAGCCUGCGGGGCCCACCACCUGGGACAAGGGGCAGUGGCUUGGUGGCCGUGAGGGGGAGGGGCAUGGAGGCCUCUGCAGUCAGUCAACCAACCAGUGAGUCACCAUCGAUCAGCCAUGCUGACCACAACGUAGCCGCUGUUGGCUCAGAAAGGGGGUCCACACUGAGGACUUGGCCAUCCCCAGGGCAGGGUUUGGGGGUGUCGUCUGGGCCACAGCCCCCCAGGAAGAGAGGGCGGUUAACUCUUUGUCCUCGGCCCUGAGCCUCGGCCGGGCUCACAGAGCUCAACGUGCUCUGCGGACACUUCCUCCCCUCCAAGCCGCAGCCACCGUUGGAGGGUGUCGGCCCUGUUCCGGUGCGUCCUGAGAGGUCUCAACAUGCACACCUGCAGCGCUUUCAAGGCCGCACUGCCUCCUUUCUUCCUGAAAUUCUC
rnacentral:lncRNA from 1 species